GAACGCACCUUGCACUUUUUGGUAUUCCGAAAAGUAUGCCUGUUGGAGUGUCUUGACAAUCUCAAAUCCAUUUGGUUUUAUUAUCAAAUGUGACUUUUGGUGUUGAGCUUGCCGGUGUUUUGAUGCAUCGGCUUGCUUUAAAGUGAUUAGCUGGCAGUAUCUAUGGUGACUCAUCCAGUACCUGAGCGUAAUAAUUAUUUCGUUCACGGUCAGAGUCGUUCAACCUGGAUUACAAGUCGCUUCCAAUCCUUUCAAUCUAUUUUUGAUUUAAUCAAAACUAUUGAAAACCCCACUUUGUAAAUCAGACCUCCAAUCAGGUAGGACUACCCGCUGAACUUAAG
rnacentral:misc_RNA from 1 species